rnacentral:rRNA from 1 species
CGGGCGGCGGGUUUAACACAGGCAAUUCAAACGAGAACGGAUUAUAGUUGGUUAUAUUUGGUCAGCUAAUGGGCGCACGGGUGAGUAAGGUAUAGGUAAUAUGCCUCUUACUAAGGGAUAACAAAUGGAAACUUUUGCUAAUACUUUAUACUCUUUAUUAACAAAAUUUAAUAAGGGAAAGAUUUUUUGGUAAAAGAUUAGCCUGUUUUGUAUCAUUUAUUUGGUGGGGUAAUGGCUUACCAAGACUAUGACACAUAACUGGUUUGAAAGGAUGAUCAGUCACACUGGAACUGAAACACGGUCCAAACUCCUACGGGAGGCAGCAUUGGGGAAUAUUGCACAAUGGACAAAAGUCUGAUGCACCAACCCCCCGUGGAGGAUGACACAUUUCGGUGCGUAAACUCCUUUUAUAUGAAAAAAUAAUGACGGUUUUUUAUGAAUAAGCACCGGCUAACUCCGUGCCAGCACC